UACGUAGGGCGCAAGCGUUAUCCGGAUUUACUGGGCGUAAAGCGCGUUCAGGCGGUUUGGCAAGUCGGGCAUGAAAUCUCUCGGCUCAACCGGGAGAGGUUGUCCGAUACUGCUGGACUUGAGGGCAGUAGAGGGUGGUGGAAUUCCGGGUGUAGUGGUGAAAUGCGUAGAUAUCCGGAGGAACACCAGUGGCGAAAGCGGCCACCUGGACUGCACCUGACGCUGACACGCGAAAGCUAGGGGAGCGAACGGG
rnacentral:rRNA from 1 species